GCCAUUUCCCUCCUUACACCCCUCCCAAUGGGUGACAGUUGGAAAGUAACUAGAGGCAAAGGAUACGGAUUAUGCAAAGAAGGAAGGAGAGUCUGAGAAGAAGGGCUUUUUUGGAAGGAGGGUUGCCAGGCCUGGAACAAGCACAUGCCUAGAGGAAAAUCCCAUACUACAUACAAGGAGGAAGCCCAGGCCAGCAGCCGUUUUGCCUCAACUUGCGCACUCAUUUCAACAUUUCUCAUCUAUAAGCAAGGACACCUCUGGAAGACGCAAGGCCUGG
rnacentral:lncRNA from 1 species